CAGAAAUCUGUCUUCUGAUUCCUCCACCUUGGAUCACCCCUCAAACUUCCUCUGAAGGCUGAAGGGCAGAAGCUUUCAUCAGCUUUACUUUCUUAUUCAUCUGGACGAUAUCGACUAUCUGCGAGGCAGCGUGCCAAAUACUAGGGGGAUAAGGGAAAUAAAUAAAGGACCAGCUACUCUCCGCACAACUGCUGAGACAGAUGGACAAGACAACAGGAUUUUGUUCCACUUAUAUUUCUUCUUGGCAUCAUGCUUCUGCACCUUGGAGCCCGGGGACC